GCCGGUAGCCAUCUUCGUGCAUAGCCAGGGGAUUGGACGGUGUCAUGGAAAUGUCAAAGAAAAAGUGACACCUGAGAGAAAAUUUGAAAGAUGAAAGUGCUGUUAAUACGGAAACUGGUCUAAUAUGGAAAACAGGUGAACAUGGAGCUGCUUUGUUUGACUCAGGGAUGAGAGAUACCCAGGUCCUAAUUACUUGUCUUUAACUUUCCUUAGGGAGUACUAAUUUGGGAGUCAUUGUUCUAAACAAUUAAAGUGAAGUAACU
rnacentral:lncRNA from 10 species